CAGCAGGUGGGGAAUAUUGCACAAUGGGCGAAAGCCUGAUGCAGCAACGCCGCGUGAGCGAUGAAGGCCUUCGGGUCGUAAAGCUCUGUCCUCAAGGAAGAUAAUGACGGUACUUGAGGAGGAAGCCCCGGCUAACUACGUGCC
rnacentral:rRNA from 1 species